UACGGAGGAUGCAAGCGUUAUCCGGAUUUAUUGGGUUUAAAGGGUGCGCAGGUUGUUUGAUAAGUCAGUGGUGAAAGUCUGUCGCUUAACGGUAGGAUUGCCAUUGAUACUGUUGGACUUGAAUAUGGAUGAGGUAGGCGGAAUGCGUCGUGUAGCGGUGAAAUGCUUAGAUAUGACGCAGAACUCCGAUUGCGAAGGCAGCUUACUGGGAUGCAACUGACGCUGAGGCACGAAAGCGUGGGUAUCAAACA
rnacentral:rRNA from 1 species